AUGCCAAGUCCAGCAUUCUUCUUUUUUGUGAACCUUGCCAUUUCGCUUUCCCUUCCAGCUCCUUCAAUCGCUGAAAGCCAAAGGACCAAUGGAGGAAACCCAGCAUGUCUUUUCUUAGUAAGACUAACACAGAAAAUGGUGGGUCCCAGCGCCCUGGGAACUGACUCUUGGAUCCCCACCUGCUGUGACCCAACUGGGUUCCUCCUAGAGGAAAACCAGCCAGAGCAUACAACAGGGGAUAGUUUGGUUCAGGAUUCAUUCCCUGCCACCCAUGGUUGUGUCUGUGCUAAUAAGCAAAACGGGGCCAGGAUAUGGGCACGAGCACUAGAGCAUGAUUGUCUGCGCUGUUUGUUAGCAUGGUCCCUGGCACAGUUUUGUUGUUGGUGUGCUACCAGACAGCACGUGGCUCUGGGAGCAGUGCGUGUGGGAGACCAUCUCCAGUGGGCAGCAGAUGGGGCCAUGCUGUUGGGGAGAGACAGAAAAAUGGGCUGUACGGGCAUGCGGUACACUGUGCCACUUGGCUUUAGGAUUAGAGAAGAUGCCUUGGACUGCUCUAGCUACUAGUACUGGUGUAGUUCUGUGUCUCGGAAGUGUGCUGGGUUUCUGGCUGCUACCAGCUCCACUGCAAGUUAGACAUCACCCUGACAAAUUUCAGCCAGGAGAUGCCACCACACCUGAGAAGGCUAUUCUUCACGAAACAUCGAAGCAGCCAGGCUCUGCUUCUCGCUACAGCUUACGCAGAUAGCAGAGAUGUGCAAUAGCUCCUUAUAAUUCUAUAACCUCGUGCUUUCCCCCCCCCCCCUUUUUAAAAAGACUUUCAGUUUAGUAGUAUUUAGCCACUGUGGUUGUCUUUUCCAUGAACCUGUAAUAACAACAAGCACAAAGUUUUUCUGCAAGUGGAUAGAGCUGUUUCAAUUUUACAAGUAAUUUCCUAAAUUAAUAUGCCCCAAUUUCAUUGCCUUCUCUUUUUCAGGCAACUGUUUAUAAAUUACACCAUCCCUUUCUAUUUUUUCUCAUUUUGGGACACUGGGGUUCUGGUUACAAAAAGGGAAAAACUGGAAAGAGUUAGAAAAACUGGAUGGGGACGAUAUGCAUUUCCUCCCUCACAGAGCAUAUAAAAAGACAUUCCAGUGACAUAAGAGUGUCAUCAAAGUAAGAGAUAGGAUUCAUCAGCAUCUGAAUGAUUUUUCAGUGGAAUGACUGAUUUACAUAGAUAUUGAAAUAUUGCAUGUCCUCCUCUGUCCCUUUCUCUGUAUGGCUUCUAGAUAAGUGUGCUUUUUUAAAUUAUACCAGGAAUUGUCUUUGUUCUCUUGUUUCAAAGUUAUGCUUAGACUAUAAUGAUACUAAACUUUUGCAAUUGCAAGCACUGUUCAGUGGAAAGAUUAAAUAAUAAAAAAAUAGUUGAUCAUCA
rnacentral:lncRNA from 1 species